UGGGGAAUAUUGCGCAAUGGGGGAAACCCUGACGCAGCGACGCCGCGUGGGUGAUGAAGGCCUUCGGGUCGUAAAGCCCUGUCGUAGGGGAAGAAAUCGUUGUCGGUUAAUACCCGGCAGCGUUGACGGUACCCUACAAGAAAGCACCGGCUAACUCCGUGCCAGCAGCCGCGGUAAUACGGAGGGUGCGAGCGUUGUUCGGAAUCACUGGGCGUAAAGCGCGUGUAGGCGGCAGGUUAAGUCUGGUGUGAAAGCCCGGGGCUCACCCCCGGAAGUGCGCUGGAAACUGGCCAGCUAGAGUAUGGGAGAGGGAAGCGGAAUUCCUGGUGUAGCGGUGAAAUGCGUAGAUAUCAGGAGGAACACCGGCGGCGAAGGCGGCUUCCUGGACCAAUACUGACGCUGAGACGCGAAAGCGUGGGGAGCAAACAGG
rnacentral:rRNA from 1 species